rnacentral:tRNA from 1 species
UAAAAAAUAGUAUAAAGGAAGUACAAAGGGUUUUGAUCUCUUUAGUACAGGUUCAAAUCCUGUUUUUUUAG